UGUGCAGAAAACUGUUCGGCUCCCGAGCAGCAACCUGGACAUUCCUUCUCACUUGUGAAGACCGUCUUGUCACAAGGUCAUCUGACGCCGCUGCCGCUCUACGUGUGUCCAGUGCACUGGCCGUACGAUUACGCUCUACGAGUUUAUCCUGUUCCUGACGUCAUCGUCUUCGCCGACAAAUACGACCCGUUCAACGUUUCCAACACAGACUGCCUGUGCAUCAACCCGGGCUCUUUUCCAAGAAGUGGCUUCUCCUUUAAGGUUUACUAUCCGUCCAGCAGAACCGUGGAGGACAGUAAAUUGCAAGGGCUUUAAACGAGUGGAACUUCAUGUUUUUUUAAUACUUUAUUCGUUAAUUCUAUUGUACUCUUUAAAAUGUAGAUUCCUUUUUAUUUUAUAUUAAGUUAAU